rnacentral:rRNA from 1 species
CCUACGGGCGGCAGCAGUGGGGAAUUUUGCGCAAUGGGGGCAACCCUGACGCAGCAACGCCGCGUGAGUGAUGAAGGCCUUCGGGUCGUAAAGCUCUGUCAGAGGGGAAGAAAUGCAGGUGGUGAACAACCAUUCUGUUUGACGGUACCCUCAAAGGAAGCACCGGCUAACUCCGUGCCAGCAGCCGCGGUAAUACGGAGGGUGCGAGCGUUGUUCGGAAUUAUUGGGCGUAAAGCGCGUGUAGGCGGUUUGUUAAGGCUGAGGCGAAAUCCCCGGGCUAAACCUGGUAAGUGCAUUGGAUACUGGCAGGCUUGAUUACGGGAGAGGAGAGUGGAAUUCCCAGUGUAGGAGUGAAAUCCGUAGAUAUUGGGAGGAACACCGGUGGCGAAGGCGGCUCCCUGGACCGAAACUGACGCUGAGACGCGAAAGCGUGGGGAGCAAACGGGAUUAGAUCCCCUUGUAGU